rnacentral:rRNA from 1 species
GAUGAACGCUGGCGGCGUGCCUAAUACAUGCAAGUCGAGCGAACAGACGAGGAGCUUGCUUCUCUGACGUUAGCGGCGGACGGGUGAGUAACACGUGGAUAACCUACCUAUAAGACUGGGAUAACUUCGGGAAACCGGAGCUAAUACCGGAUAAUAUUUUGAACCGCAUGGUUCAAUAGUGAAAGACGGUUUUGCUGUCACUUAUAGAUGGAUCCGCGCUGCAUUAGCUAGUUGGUAAGGUAACGGCUUACCAAGGCAACGAUGCGUAGCCGACCUGAGAGGGUGAUCGGCCACACUGGAACUGAGACACGGUCCAGACUCCUACGGGAGGCAGCAGUAGGGAAUCUUCCGCAAUGGGCGAAAGCCUGACGGAGCAACGCCGCGUGAGUGAUGAAGGUCUUCGGAUCGUAAAACUCUGUUAUUAGGGAAGAACAUAUGUGUAAGUAACUGUGCACGUCUUGACGGUACCUAAUCAGAAAGCCACGGCUAACUACGUG